AUACUCAAGGGUCAAUUGUGCAGCAGAUUUAUUGGAAAAAAGUGCUUUUUCCAAUGAAUCUGCUGCAAAAUUGACCCUUGAGUGC